UACGGGGGGGUAAGCGUUGUUCGGAAUUACUGGGCGUAAAGGGCUCGUAGGCGGCCAACUAAGUCGGACGUGAAAUCCCUCAGCUUAACUGGGGAACUGCGUCCGAUACUGGAUGGCUUGGAUUUGGGAGAGGGAUGCGGAAUUCCAGGUGUAGCGGUGAAAUGCGUAGAUAUGCGGAGGAACACCGAUGGCGAAGGCAAUCCCCUGGGCCUGCACUGACGCUCAUGCACGAAAGCGUGGGGAGCAAACAGG
rnacentral:rRNA from 1 species